UGUGUGUGUGUGUGUGUGUGUUUGUUUGUUGGCACGAUAACUCGAGCGGAAGAAGCUACCAAUGUCAAAUUACACCACGUGAUUCGGGAGGGUGAUGGCUCGCGCUGAUUAGAUUUUGGUCAAAGGUCAAGGUCACAGUGAGGUCAAACAUUUGAUGGUUUGGUAGGGGGGGGGGGGGGGGGGGGGGGGGGGGGGGGGGGGGGGGGGGGGGGGGUGCUACCUUCUCUCGAGACAGCUUUUAUUAGACAAGGUCAGAGGUCAAGUUGACAAUUUCGUAAGUACCAGUCAAUGACUGCUUGUUUAUUUAUUUUUCCCUUCCUUAACCAUGACACACUUUAUCUGCUGUACUAGGUUGAUGGUUAGUGAUUGCAGUGUGCAGCUACUCCCGAUCCCAACAAACACCCCCAUUGGGAAUCGUUUCGUGCACAUCACCCCGGCACUAGUCACGACUACCAGAUCGACGGCUCAAAGUGAAGGACAAGUUCAGUCCAUUCCCAAGCUCAUGAUAGAGGUGGAAUCGGCAGGGAAAGGUAUGAAUAUUUUAGUCGAUCCAGUUUUUAUUUAUUUGUAUUUUGAGUGCUCUAUUCAUGUCCUGACGUACUCCUUUUGGUCGGUGCUCUCAGUGAGGACAAACAAUGCACAUUUUACCUUGAGAUGCGUGUGCCGCAGCAAUACCUCGAGUGCUCAUGUUGAAAGUUUGGCAUUUUUCCCCUUUUUAUGCAAAAUGAGUGUCCUUGUGCAGGGACUGUGGACAUCGGUCCAAGUAUGGCUGGAGAGGGAUGUUUUAAAAGGCUUUCUGUAAGCAAACGUCACAGGAAUGACAACCUUUGCACCUCUCCUGCACCUGGCAUGUCAGACACCUAUGAUCUGGCUAUGACCCAACCGGAAUCUUGCGCAGAGUGUGAUGCGCAUGAUGGCACGGUGAAUAACCCAUGUAGAACGUGCGGGAAAAUGACUGCUGUCUGCAUCGACGAGGGAGCGAAUACCACACCACUCACCAGCGCUGCGACGUCUAUGGUUGUGGAAAGUGAUAUUCUGAAGGAAGGGUUGCGAUCGGCACAAGUCGUGCAGUUCAAAAGCACGCACCUCAUUGGAAUUGGCCAUGGUGUCGUGGUUCGUUGUGUCAGCAAUGAGAGUCGAGGCAGUUUUCAGCCACGACCACCAUCCUCAUGUCCUACCGAGAGGGGUAGACGAGGUCUUCUGUCUCAGAGGUUCAGGCGUAAUGGCCGUCGGUCUCUUGGUAGACCACAGCAGCCAGCUGAACCCAUUGUUCUGUCAAGUGAUGAGGAAGAGGAGGAGAGAAAACGACGGAAAGAGGACCGUGUGGCAGCGGCGACCGAGGAAUGUACACCUCAACUUGAUCGCUCACUUUCAGAUGACAAUGGUUUGGUGUUUGAAUCUGACAUCGACAUGACGGAGGAAAAAGCAAAAUCGAGAUCUGAUUUGCUGACCUCUGAGUGUGAAAAUCCCAUUUUGGAGCCAAUUGCUGAACAUUGCACAUCCAGAGAUCGGGAACCGAGUCUGGAUAGUGACGCGCGAUUGACGCCUGAGGAAGAUUCAAAGACCGAGCUGCAGUUUCUCUCAACACUACCACCUGUUCCUCCUCUACUGAACAAGAAGGCUCGCAUGAAAGAUGAGUUUGGGCAGCUCGCUUUGUCCCAGGACAAGCAGCGAAAGGUCAGGCCGAAGCAAGCAAGUGCGACGCAGUCCUCUCUGACAUCCGAGUCUGAGAAAUGCUAUUCAAUGGUUCUGCAGUUACAGUGCAGGUUUUUGCGUUUGGGAACAUUGAAAGUGAUGGCCCAGAGAAGUGUCACGGUGGGUAACUUUUUACCGACUUGUUACCUCGAGCGAAACACAAUUUUGCACAUGUCAAGGGACUUUGGCCAGAGGAUUUGUCUUUCUCUUUCGGGUUGGGAAUGAGGUGUUUUGAAUGUGUUUUAAAGGCACGACAAUUUCAUUGGUUGCUUUUCAACUUCACUGGUUUGUUUUUCAGGUUUCUGUCGAAAAUGUGA
ensembl:lincRNA